GCGCAGAAGGGUCGUGGUAGUUGCUUACAUCAAUCCAAGGGCGCCACCGAUGGAUCAGUACUGGUUUAGUAUUUACCUUUCAAAAAACAGUAUUCUCUUAAUGAUGUUUAGAGAAAAAUUGAGUUGAAAAUGUGGUACAUGAGAUGUCUCUUUUAGCAUUCGACUAUGUAUUUCGAUUUCCAGUGGAUUGCCUACAAAUUAUUUAAUGAAACAUUUAAAGUGUUUUCUUGUAUUGUCUGCUCGUUUUACCCUUUUCGGGGAAACAUG
rnacentral:misc_RNA from 1 species